rnacentral:rRNA from 1 species
GUGUCAGCAGCCGCGGUAAUACGGGGGGAGCGAACGUUGUUCGGAAUCACUGGGCGUAAAGGGCGUGUAGGCGGUUCGGUAAGUGGAAUGUGAAAUCCCCCGGCUUACCCGGGGAACUGCAUCCCAUACUGCUGGACUUGAGUGCGGGAGAGGAUGGAGGAAUUCCUGGUGUAGCGGUGAAAUGCGUAGAUAUCAGGAGGAACACCUGUGGCGAAGGCGUCCAUCUGGCCCGUUACUGACGCUGAGGCGCGAAAGCUAGGGGAGCAAACGGGAUUAGAUACCCCCGUAGUCC